rnacentral:rRNA from 1 species
GACGAACGCUGGCGGCGUGCUUAACACAUGCAAGUCGAACGGAAAGGCCCUGCUUUUGUGGGGUGCUCGAGUGGCGAACGGGUGAGUAACACGUGAGUAACCUGCCCUUGACUUUGGGAUAACUUCAGGAAACUGGGGCUAAUACCGGAUAGGAUCUCCUGCUGCAUGGUGGGGGUUGGAAAGUUUCGGCUGUUGGGGAUGGACUCGCGGCUUAUCAGCUUGUUGGUGGGGUAGUGGCUUACCAAGGCUUUGACGGGUAGCCGGCCUGAGAGGGUGACCGGCCACAUUGGGACUGAGAUACGGCCUAGACUCCUACGGGAGGCAGCAGUGGGGAAUAUUGCAAAAUGGGCGGAAGCCUGAUGCAGCAACGCCGCGUGCGGGAUGGCGGCCUUCGGGUUGUAAACCGCUUUCGCCUGUGACGAAGCGUGAGUGACGGUAAUGGGUAAAGAAGCACCGGCUAACUACGUG